UACGGAGGGAGCUAGCGUUGUUCGGAAUUACUGGGCGUAAAGCGCGCGUAGGCGGCUUUGUAAGUUAGAGGUGAAAGCCCGGAGCUCAACUCCGGAACUGCCUUUAAAACUGCAUCGCUUGAAUCCAGGAGAGGUGAGUGGAAUUCCGAGUGUAGAGGUGAAAUUCGUAGAUAUUCGGAAGAAACACCAGUGGCGAAGGACG
rnacentral:rRNA from 1 species